UCUUUUUGAGUUAACUGUUGUCAAUAAUUGGCAUGUUAUUAUGGAAGGUUUUGCACAAGCUACAACGGAAUGGAGUCGCAUAUUUUUCAUGAUAUUUUACAUCGUUAUUUUGGCUGUAAUGACGAUCGUUGUUGCGAUUAUCCUGGAUGCAUU